GCAAAUUAGAAGAAAAGGAAUAGAGAUUCUUUCAGAGAAGGAGAUCGAAAUUCAAGAGAAUCUGACAGAUCUAAUGACUCGGGGAGGUCGCGUAAUACGCCAGCUACUCGUGGUGGACAACUAAAUCGAGAUCAGAAGCUGAAAUGUUCAGUUUGUGGUAGAUGGCAUAAGGAUUCGGAUUGGAGGCACAUCACUGGUGGUUGUUUCAGAUGUGGAGAUUUGAACCAUCGGAUAGCUCAGUGCCCCCUGCUUAGCAUUGAUGCUAGUACUGGAUCCAAGCCUCAAGAGAAAUCUACUGCUUCAGCCGAUUGUGAUCAUAUCC
rnacentral:lncRNA from 1 species